rnacentral:sRNA from 1 species
AUUCUGCCCAUGCGGGGAAGGAUGAGAAGCUUCGACCAAGGUUCGACUCGAGCGCCAGCGAGAGAGCGUUGCCGCAGGCAACGACCCGUAGGGCGAAG